AAUAGAUGGAACCGAAUAGAACACGUACAGCUCAUAAUAUUAUAAUAUUGACAUACCAAUCUGAAUUAUUCUAACAUUAUAAAAUAAAAGAGAUAGAGAUAGAUAAAUUGGAGUGAUGUAGCAGCCUUUUAUUCUACGUGUAGACUUAAGUUUUUUUGGAGGUGGAGGUGGCAAAAAGACAUGUGCAUCAAAGGCCGGUUAUGGACUUGUGGUUUGUAUCACAGCUCGUCACAGCUCGUCACGACAUA